AACGAACCCUUCGGGGUUAGUGGCGCACGGGUGCGUAACGCGUGGGAACCUGCCUUUAGGUUCGGAAUAACAGUUAGAAAUGACUGCUAAUACCGGAUAAUGUCUUCGGACCAAAGAUUUAUUGCCUUUAGAUGGGCCCGCGUUGGAUUAGAUAGUUGGUGGGGUAAUGGCCUACCAAGUCGACCAUCCAUAGCUGGUCUGAGAGGAUGAUCAGCCACACUGGGACUGAGACACGGCCCAGACUCCUACGGGAGGCAGCAGUGGGGAAUAUUGGACAAUGGGCGAAAGCCUGAUCCAUCAAUGCCGCGUGAGUGAUGAAGGCCUUAGGGUUGUAAAGCUCUUUUACCAGGGAUGAUAAUGACAGUACCUGGAGAAUAAGCUCCGGCUAACUCCGUGCCAGCAGCCGCGGUAAUACGGAGGGAGCUAGCGUUGUUCGGAAUUACUGGGCGUAAA
rnacentral:rRNA from 1 species